UUUACUCAGUUUAUUAAAAAGGAUCCCCUAAACCCUCUCGAUCGAAUCAGAACCUCUGUAAACCCUAGCUAUGGCGGCGAAGAGAUCAAGCAACGAAGGAGUGCUCUCCAGGGUUUCAUCCUCCAUAUCCGAAUCACCGAUCGUCUACAAAGGCAAGCGAGUCGCUUCCGACGCCGGUUUCGUCGCCAAAAAGCUUCUCAAAAGCACCGGCAAGGCGGCGUGGAUCGCCGGAACCACGUUUUUGAUCCUUGCGGUCCCCUUAAUCAUUGAGAUGGAACGUGAGGCUCAGUACAACGAUCUCGAGCUUCAACAGGCUAGCUUGCUCGGCACUCCUGCCGUUGCUGCUCCUCAAAAGUGAUUAUUUCAAACCCUAGUUUUUCAGGUAACCUACCCAACUAGCAAAAUUUCUGCAGGGACGACGAAAAGUAAGUUUGUUUACUUUCAAUUUAAAGACCGACCAGUAGAAAAUUUUCGUUCAUAUUACGAGUUUGUUAUUUAAGAUGUUUUCUAGGCUUAGUCCCAUAUCUUGUUUUUACCAUAUCAUUUAUCAUUUACCCUACAUGUGAUAUGACUAUAUGAUUGAAAUUUGAACAUAAAAUGGGUAUUACCUUGUUCUCCUAA